AUGAUAAAGACCAAACGAAAAGAUCAUAAAAAGAAGAAGAUCGGGAAUUACCUUUCAAAGACGCUUCAGUGGUGCUUCAAAAAUCCAGAGGUGAGAAUGAAGGAGCAAAGAGUUUAUUGCAUACUUUCAAAUCUUUUUGGUGAGAUGAUGGGAUCUCCUGAGAUUAUGCAAAGAGUGAGGUUAAAUGAUGGUUUGGCAAGCAGAUGGGAAAGAUUAAUGCAACAAGUCUAA